rnacentral:rRNA from 1 species
GACGAACGCUGGCGGCGUGCUUAACACAUGCAAGUCGAACGGAAAGGCCCUGCAUUUGUGGGGUGCUCGAGUGGCGAACGGGUGAGUAACAAGUUAGUAACCUGCCCUUGACUUUGGGAUAACUUCAGGAAACUGGGGCUAAUACCGGAUAUGAGCUCCUGCUGCAUGGUGGGGGUUGGAAAGUUUCGGCGGUUGGGGAUGGACUCGCGGCUUAUCAGCUUGUUGGUGGGGUAGUGGCUUACCAAGGCUUUGACGGGUAGCCGGCCUGGGAGGGUGACCGGCCACAUUGGGACUGAGAUAAGGCCCAGACGCGGACGGGAGGCAGAAGUGGGGAAUAUUGCACGAUGGGCGGAAGCCUGAUGCAGCAACGCCGCGGGCGGGAUGACGGCCUUAGGGUUGUAAACCGCGUUCGCCUGUGACGAAGCGUGAGUGACGGUAAUGGGUAAAGAAGCACCGGCUAACUACGUG